UUUUCCUUUUUUUUCCUUUUUUAAAUUUUUUAAAACAUUUUCUUAUCCCACUUCCCUCGUGGGACUGGAAGCAGGAUCCGCGUCCCUGAAAUUGCUAUGCCAGCUGAACUCUCCCGGGCCGUGGGAAUGCACGCCAUCUCCGACCUGCACUCCUCCCUCCCCCUGCGGCUCCUCAACAAGGGGCCCGAGUACCUCCGCAGGCAGCUGGAGGCCGGCAAGCCGGGCAGGAAAAGUGCCGUGGAGAGACUGGCCGCCGACAAGGCCAAGUACGUAAAGAGCCAGCAGGUCAUCGGCAGCAGGCAGGACCCCGUCAUCGCGCUCAGCUCAGCCUCGGAGAGCAGCAGCGAGACCUGCUCCGUGGAGAGCAGGGCGGCGAGCCGGGAGCCGGGCAGGGGCAGGGGCGCGGGCGCGAAGCCCCGGGAGCCGGGCACGGCCGGGGGCUCCUGCCGGGCCCCCCUGCAGCACGGCCCCCCCAUCGCCAGGCGCAGCACCAAGAGGCAGAUGCGGCCCGAUUCCCUGGUGAUCUACCGCCAGAAAUGUGAGCUCGGCAGGGGUCAAAGCCAGGACAGCUCGCGGGGGAAUUUGGUGAGGAGGAUCUUCAAUGGGUCCAUAAAGGAGAAGCAGUUGGCUUCCCCUGCGUUGCCCAGAGUCAUGGAGGACAUCGCCGCCACCGAGAGCAGCGAGCCUGUCUCAGCAAAAGAUGGUGACCGUGAGCCAAGCGACCAUGGAGCGGUGCAGACUAUCCCUGUGAGCACUGAAGGGGCAGGGGUAUGUACAAAAGAGCAUGAGAGACCCUCGAAACUGAGUACACCUCCUGAAGAGAUCAAGGAGGUGAAGAGGAGAGGUCUCCAUCGCUCCCAGUCAGACAUCAGCUCUCGCUACUCCAAGUCCUUCGCUGAGUUUGAAACAUUUUUCAAGUACUGUGGCCUGGAGCAGGAGGUCAUUGAGGACCUUGGGCGAGAGAACUUCUCUGUGGUGUCUGACAAUGUCUCCUUCAAGGUGCGCAGCAUCAGCGUGGCCACCUCGGAGAGCGAGUUCACUCGGCACAGCGGGGACGACGGGCUGCUGGAGGACGAGCUCACGGAGCAGGUCCCCAGCAGCACCUCCGUGAUUGAGCGCAACGCUCGGAUAAUCAAGUGGUUGUACACGUGUAAGAAAGCCAAGGAGAGCAAUAAGGUGAUCCAGGAACUGGCGUGAUGCCUUCAUCCAGCUUGCGUUGGAGCCUGGUGAGCUCAAGGCACCCCCAAGUAUCAGAAAACCAAAACUGAAUCAGUGCCCUGCUAUGAAUCUUAUUUCCUCUGUGGCUUCCUGUUGGGACUCUAAAAGUUUGUUCCAGAAUUGGAAGAAAUGACUUGGAAGUUGAACAAAACCAGAUGCAGGAAGAAACUGUUCCCUCAUCUGGCUUAUGCGUACUUUGUACAAGUUUAGUAUUUUGUUGUUGUUUCCUACCUUCACCCCCAUCCCGUGGAAGUCUCACUCUUGUCAAGCCCAAGGAUGUCCAAGGCUGCAAUGAAAAGUGGAGAUUGUGAACUGUGCCCCAGCAAGACAGCAGGAAACAAAAUCCCCUGGAAAAUUGAAGCGUGGCAGCAGUUGCCAUCUGCAAUAGUAUUCAGUCAGCUCACUGCCUCAGGAUGUCAUUCCAGAUGUGACAGAAGGUCUGUUGUGUGCACCCAUCUCUUUCCAGCAAUGAAUUUGUCAACAGGGAUGGGGGGACAAAGUGGGAAUGAAGUGGCAAUGACCUCUGGGUCGGGUGUUCCCUUGCAGACAGACUCCACCUGGAUGUCCAAAGGCUCUGCCUUACCAGAGCUUUUGAUCAGAGCUCAUCCUGACAUCAUUCACCAUCAUUUGCUUGGCUGGUGAGGACUCACUGUGGUGGCCUAUUCUGAAAUACUUGGCAAACAUGUGAGCUAAAUCCCUGCCAAACCUCUUUCCUUGAGAGCAUGCAAGCCAAGUCAGUGUACCUUGUAUCCAUCUAGUUUGCUCUUGCUGGGUUGUCACACAGUUUGCUCAGCCAUGGGGAAAGAAUAGCACCAAAUACUUCCAGGAAACAGGUAUUGAGGGAGGUUCUGCAUUGUUUCUGCCUUGCAGAACAGUACAGCUUGUUUGCAAUAUGUGCCUGAGUCUGACAUGGCACACAUGGCAAGGUUUGGCAGUCGUGGUGUAACACCUUUGGUUUUAGGCAGUGAGCAGGCUGCUACAGCAUGGCACAGCAUAGGGAGCUAUGCCAGGCUGUGUUGGGCCACACUUCCCCAGUGUGGGUCUGCACUAGGGCUGUGCAGGGCAGGAGGGCAUGUUAGGGCACCGCCAGGCCAGGGAAUGUCCUGAUGGCACCCAGUGCAGACAACACCUCACUCAGUGUCAUCAGUAAAAUGCUUCAUUUGGGCUGCCUGAGCUAAACAUGUUUUAAAAGGUGAUACUUGGAUCAUUAGUGUAGUGAAUGAGGCCUCUGCAGUAACUCAUGGAAUUUGCUGGCUAUGCAUCAAACAUCCCAAUUUGUCAUUGCUUGCUAGAAAAUCAAAGCAUUUCUGGAUGGACAUUGCAAACCACAAAACAAUAAAAAAAAUAAAAAAAAAAAAAAAGCCAAAGCCACUUUCCCUUUCAUUUGCAGUGAUACCCAUCUGUGAAAGCUGCCUGACUGGCACAAUGUUGACUUCAGUUGUUGGUCCUGCAGAAGUUAAAAACUUACUUUGAGUUACCAUGGUUGUGGAAGAGUUGUCCUUGAGGAGCUCAUCGACAUCAGCUAAAUAUCAUCUGAGUUGCACUUCCAUGGGUUUGAAUGUGCUUGUCAGUCCUUGGAUGGUUAGUUCUCAAUUACAGCACCAGUUUGGAAAUGCAAUGUCUUCUGUUUCUAGUGUUAGGUGCUAAGGCCUACGUGUCUGAAGUUCUUAAGAUAACUAGAUAACCAUUCCAGUAAAAAUAAUUGUGGAACCACUUUUCAGCUGGAGAAAACAAAGUAGUUUGUGUGAGUUCCUUCAAACUUGGAGAGAAGGUAGCAUAUGUGGAUAUUUUCUUACAUAACGAAAUCUCCAUAUAUAUUUGUUACAUUAUUAUGAAAGGAUGAUUCUCAGAAAACGUCAAGAUGCUGCUAGUAUGAUAAGAUUUAUACACUGAAGAUGCAGGUUUUUAAGGAUCACAGUCUAGGUUUAUUAGUCAGGAGCAUAAUCUGAUGUAUUUGUUCUGUUCAUGCUCCCAGCAAGAUGCUGUACCACAUAUAUAUUUAUAUAUCAGAGCUAAGGAAUGCUUUUUUUCAAAAACAUGGAUUACUGUACAUAGUUCAGAGUGCAGGAAAAAUCUUUUGAGUUACAAUCCAGUGCCCUGCCACAGGAGAAGAGAAUUAAUUUGUUUUGUUUCCAAGGAAAAUUUUUGUUUCAUUUUCUAACUUCUAUUUGUUGUUCCUCUGUCCAUUGAGCAGCUUUCAAAAGCUAAGAUGAAAGAUGUAUUACUCAUGAGUUUUCAAUAUUAGGAAGGAAUAUGUUUAAUUUGCUUGAAAAUACUGAACAUCAGCCUUUCUGAAAAUCGAUGAGGGUUGUAUGGCAGAGGCUAGUGAAAUCAGAAUUGGACCCAUUCUGAAUACUUUUUUAAUCCCUCUUUUUGUUUUUAUGGAUAGGUCAAUAGGGUUCAGGUGACUUUCCACACUGAUGUGGCAAAAUUUCUCUGGCUUUGUUCAAACUCUGUGGGAAUCCCAAGCACUCCCAUUUAUUUCAGAGGUGAUGUGGACCUGGAUCUUUUCCUGUUAAGCUGUAGAUUUCCUUUAUUUAAUAAUACCUUCUGGGGAAGCUAAUAAUUGUCAUUUCCUAUAUGUCAGAACAAAAAUAGAUGACAGCUUUCUUUCCCCAUACAUUUUGGGAAUGGCUAAUUCAGUGGUUUUUCCAAGUGAUGAGAGCUCUGGUGUUCAUUCCACUCCUGUUACUGUUACAUGUAGAGGGUUUUCCUUUCUUCUGCUGGGCCUUUCAGUUCUUUCAACAAGAACUUGCUAAUCCUAGCCACUACCUAUCUUUUUCUCAAAAAGAAAAGAUUUUUUCUUUAGUAUUUGGGAUGGGUGGAAUUUCCCAGCUUUGGUGUUAAACUGGAAAAGUGGGCUGUUGCAGUUGGAACAGAAGUUUUAGCAAUGGAGCUGAUUUUUCAAUAGUCUAGGGAGCCUAAAAUGGCAGCUGAUGACAAAGGCUAGCCAUAAAUUGAAUUAUUUUGUUUGACUAGAACCAUGUAAACAAAAUAGUCAAAUGGGAUGCAAGUGUACAGAACAAAUUGCUGUUUACACCCAGGUGUUUCAUGGUUCUCCAGUGCUGUGACAAGGGGCAAUGUCUGCAGCUGUGGCAUAACGGGAGAAAGGUACAAAGUCUGGGGUUUAUGGUCUGGAAUAUGGAGAUAAGAGUGAAAUCUUUGCAAUAUAUUGUAAAUAUUACUGUACAGAAAUCUAUAAGAAAUACAGAUUUUAUAUAUAUAUAUAUAUAUAUAUAUAUAUAU